AUUGAACGCUGGCGGCAUGCUUUACACAUGCAAGUCGAACGGUAACAGGGAGCUUGCUCCGCUGACGAGUGGCGAACGGGUGAGUAAUGCGUCGGAACGUGCCGAGGAGUGGGGGAUAACGCAGCGAAAGUUGUGCUAAUACCGCAUACGUACUGAGGUAGAAAGUGGGGGACCUUCGGGCCUCACGCUAUUCGAGCGGCCGACGUCUGAUUAGCUAGUAGGUGAGGUAAAGGCUCACCUAGGCGACGAUCAGUAGCGGGUCUGAGAGGAUGAUCCGCCAAACUUGGACCGAGACACGGCCCAGACUCCGACGGGAGGCAGCAGUGGGGAAUUAUGGACAAUGGGCGAAAGCCUGAUCCAGCCAUGGCGCGUGUCUGCAGAAGGCCUUCGGGUUGUAAAGGACUUUUGUCGGGGAGGAAAUCCCCAGCGCUAAUACCGCUGGGGGAUGACAGUACCUGAAGAAUAAGCACCGGCUAGCUACGUGCCAGCCGCCGCGGUAAGAC
rnacentral:rRNA from 1 species